UGACAACCAGCCCUUGGCUGAAAGCAGAGGAUUGUGGGAAGUUCUUUUUUUUUGGACGAGGACGGGAACAAACUGUUUUUACUUUUCUCCUUUCGGCGAUUAUUUCUCUCUGCUGCAUAUUUUGUUCAUGGUUCUUAUUUACGCUGCAGCUACACGUUACGUGGCGAAUCAUUGGGAAGAAUAUCUGCUCAUUUAAAACGUCGCCAAUAGAAGGAACACGACACGCAGUCCUUCAUAUCUAAUUAAUAAGUGGACAUUGUCUCCACUCAGAUACGCCAACAGUUGUUCAUGUUAAUUAGUGAGGCUGUCAUUUUUAUCUUGUUCCACAUCAGCUGAAUGAGACCAUUAGCAUUUAGGACUUGUUAGAUGUGGACAUUUAAAUAGAAGGAGAGAGGGGUAAAGGAAGGAGAGAAGGAGCCGAGGAGAAGGAGAGAGAGGUGUAAAGGAAGGAGAGAAGGAGCCGAGGAGAAGGAGAGAGAGGUGUAAAGGAAGGAGAGAAGGAGCCGAGGAGAAGGAGAGAGAGGGGGGUAAAGGAAGGAGAGAAGGAGCCGAGGAGAAGGAGAGAGAGGUGUAAAGGAAGGAGAGAAGGAGCCGAGGAGAAGGAGAGAGGUUUUAAGGAAGGAGAGAAGGAGCCGAGGAGAAGAGAGAGAGAGAGAGAAGCUUCUCUGUGAGAUGAAAGAGGCCACAUGUUCCUCCUCAAGUGUGUGUUUCUUUAUUUCUACUUUAAUGUGCGUAUUAAACAUUCACACAUGUAAAGCUUUUAUUUGUGUAAACAUCGGCGUCAACCACGACUUAAAUAAACUACUGACCUCAAAGGCAUCUUGUAAACACUGAGCCGCGUUACGUUUAGCUUCUGAAUGCUCAUUGGAGGAAUAAUUAUCGUUGUUUAAUAUUCGAC
ensembl:lncRNA